AGCACCCUCCCUGAGACCCCUCUGGUGAGCAAAGAGCUUAGACUAAGCCAGGUGUCCUCCAUCAGGGUCCUGGAUCAUGGAGCGGGUGAGAACCUGUACUGGGAUCAUCAGUCCCCUUGUUGGUGAGCCUGGAGCUCGUGGGUCUGCCUCCCUGCUGGAUUGAGGGCCCCCACGCAGAGAGAUGCUCAACAAACAUGUGAUCCUUUGAAAACGGAAGAGAAAAAGGAACAGACACAUCAGAGUGAAAAGAUGACUUUGACAAAAUAUAGAGAGAUCUGGCAAACAAUGGUUCGGGCGAGAGUCCUCAAACCCAUCAAAACAGACACACAAAGGCUGUGAUGAAGUCCUUCGUCCAAAGAGGAGCAAUGAAAACCAGCG
rnacentral:lncRNA from 1 species